UAAUUCCAGCUCCAAUAGCGUAUACUAAAGUUGUUGCAGUUAAAAAGCUCGUAGUUGGAUUUCUGGCGGGGACGGCUGGUGGGGCCCGUGAGGGUCUCUACUGACGCCUGGUUCCCGUCAUCCUCGGGGAGAGCGGCCCUGGCAUUAAGUUGUUGGGGUCGGGAUCCUCGUCUUUUACUGUGAAAAAAUUAGAGUGUUCAAAGCAGGCUUAGGCCCUGAAUACAUUAGCAUGGAAUAAUAAGAUAUGACCUUGGUGGUCUAUUUUGUUGGUUUGCACGCCAAGGUAAUGAUUAAUAGGGAUAGUUGGGGGUAUUCGUAUUCAAUUGUCAGAGGUGAAAUUCUUGGAUUUAUGGAAGACGAACUACUGCGAAAGCAUUUACCAAGGAUGUUUUCAUUAAUCAAGAACGAAAGUUAGGGGAUCGAAGAUGAUUAGAUACCAUCGUA
rnacentral:rRNA from 1 species